UUCUACUCUUCUCCUCUUCUUGGAGCUAAAUUAUCUAAUUAUGUCUUUUUGGAGCUAUAUGGGCUAAUUAUGUCAUUUUAGAGGAAAACAAGCUAAGAAUAUAAUAUUAAUGAGCUAACCAAGGUUUUUAUGCCAUUUUGAGCAUAUUAUGUCAUUUUGGAGCUAAAUGGGCUAAUUAUGUCAUUUUUCGGGAAAAUAAGGUCAGUACAAUAAUAAAGAGCAGAAGAAAGAGGAGAAGGAUAAGAAGAAGAAGAAGAAAUCGAGAAUAAGGAGAAGAAGAAGAAGAAGAAGAAGAAGAAGGAGGAGAAGGAGAAGAAGAAGAAGGAGGAGAAGGAGAAGGAGAAGG
rnacentral:lncRNA from 1 species